AAUUACAUUCAAGUAAAUACGGUAAGUUAACAGAAUGCUCAAACCUACUUUGUACAUAUAGAUGUUUCAAUAUGUAUUUUCUGUCAAUGAUCAUGGAUGGGUGUAGUUAUUAUGACACAAUAACUCUUUCUCACAACAUAUUCCACUUAACAGAUCAGCCACCUUAAAUUUACUACCAAUUUUUAUUUUUUUCUUAUUUUUUUCUGAGCAUUUCCCUAAAUACACUUGUUACAUCUCUGGAAUCAUAGAUGCAUUUUGAAUAUUUGAGCAUUUUGUACAUUUUCUGUAUCCAUCUUCACUAUAAAAGCUGAACAGACAGGGCCAAAGGUUCCAAUCAAACGUGUCCUUUAUUCCUGGUGUGCAUGGAAAAUAUUUGCCACUAUUUUUGCCUUUCUGAUCAACUCAGAUCAAGAGUCCGGAUCAGCAGUCAUGUUGAAAGGAAGUUCUUGCCAUCCACAAAGUCUUGCUCAAAGGCGGGGGACCUGCUACUAGUCCAUACGGAACAGCAGAAAUAAGUUUUGGGUCGAAAGUCUCCUGUCAAGUAAGAAGAAAGGAGUUCACAGACCAAUGCCAGCUAACUCCCAAUAGUGGAUAAUGUGUAAAGGGUAGUAGGCUGACCUAGGUCCUAGGCUGGCUUAAGAAUCUUUAAAUAGUCACCUCGGAAGUGAUUAAAAUGAUCAGCAAAUAGAUGGCACUCAAAGCUGUGGGUAAAGAGAGACUAGAAGACAACCAAGGCGAAAACCUCAAGGAACCUCAAUAGAUUUGGGGACAGCAGAUAUAAUGGAAAUACUGAAAAGGUGAUUGUCAGGAUAAAUUCCGCAGCAACAGUGAGAGAUUCUUUGAGGAGCAAUUCUUAGAGGAAGCAAGAGCAAGACAAUGUCCAUGCCACUGAGAGGAGUAUUUGCUCCAACAGUGGAAGUGAAAGGGAGCAGCUGGGGACAGAAGACAACUUUAUGUCAGGGUCCACCGAGCAGCAGGAAUGCAAGUUGUAAAAAGUUCAGAUCCCCAAAGGUCAGGAGUGAGAAAGCCAUUAUUGUGAUGGGGCUAGAAGCAAGCAGCGCAAUCUCUAGGACAAGUGAAAAA